UUGAGGGGAGACAACACUGUAAACAUCCUGUUUUUUUGGCAGUGAAAAUUGAAAACUUAUUUGCAGCCACUGUAGCUCUUUUCGGAGCAGGAAACCGUACCCUGAAACAAGAUUUUUUUGAAAGGCCAGGUAAAAACCUACAAAUUUCAUACAGUUUUGAUUAUGUAAAAUGUGCAUGGAUCAUGUCUUCAUGGGUGUGCACAUGACCUGGUUUCAAGUUUUUUAUGUUCAAAUUAGACCUUUUUUCCCCCAUGUUCAUUGGAUGGAAUAUUUUUAAUAUAUUAAAAGUACACAUUAUUUUUAUUUCAUUAUAAACUAGAGAACAUUCUGAUUCCAGUGAUAUCUAGUUUUAUAUAAGUAUCUUUAUUAAUCAGUCCACCACUAAGGGUCACUUAUGCAUGGUCCCUCAAAAUGUGACGUCAUAGAAAAAAACUGUUGAUUGCACCCUUAG
rnacentral:lncRNA from 1 species